rnacentral:rRNA from 1 species
GACGAACGCUGGCGGCGUGCCUAAUACAUGCAAGUAGGACGCAGUUGCGAACGGGAGAGUAACGCGUAGGUAACUACCUAUUAGAGGGGGAUAACUAUUGGAAACGAUAGCUAAUACCGCAUACUAGUAGAUGGACCUGCGUGGUAUUAGUUAGUAGGUAGGGUAAUGGCCUACCUAGGCAACGAUACAUAGCCGCCCUUGGAGGGUGAUCGGGCACACUGGGACUGGGACACGGCCCAGACUCCUACGGGAGGCAACAGUAGGGAAUCAUCGGAAAAGGGGGGAAACCUGAACGAGCAACUGCGCGGGGGGGAAGAAAGUUUUCGGAUCGUUAAGCUCUGUUGUUGAGGAAGCGGUACUUAACCAGAAAGGGACGGCUAACUACGUGCCAGCAGCCGCGGUAAUAC